rnacentral:rRNA from 1 species
CCUACGGGAGGCAGCAGUGGGGAAUAUUGGACAAUGGGCGCAAGCCUGAUCCAGCCAUGCCGCGUGAGUGACGAAGGUCUUCGGAUUGUAAAGCUCUUUUGGCGGGGACGAUAAUGACGGUACCCGCAGAAUAAGCCCCGGCUAACUUCGUGCCAGCAGCCGCGGUAAUACGAAGGGGGCUAGCGUUGUUCGGAAUCACUGGGCGUAAAGCGCACGUAGGCGGAUUUGUCAGUCAGGGGUGAAAUCCCGGGGCUCAACCUCGGAACUGCCUUUGAUACAGCAAAUCUCGAGCCCGGAAGAGGUGGGUGGAAUUCCUAGUGUAGAGGUGAAAUUCGUAGAUAUUAGGAAGAACACCAGUGGCGAAGGCGGCCCACUGGUCCGGUGCUGACGCUGAGGUGCGAAAGCGUGGGGAGCAAACAGGAUUAGAUACCCUUGUAGUC